rnacentral:rRNA from 1 species
GACGAACGCUGGCGGCAUGCCUAAUACAUGCAAGUCGAGCGAACAGAUGAAGUGCUUGCACUUCUGACGUUAGCGGCGAACGGGUGAGUAACACGUAAGGAAUCUACCUAUAAGCAGGGGAUAACAUUCGGAAACGGGUGCUAAUACCGCAUAAUAUCUUCUUCCGCAUGGAAGAAGAUUGAAAGACGGCUCUGCUGUCACUUAUAGAUGACCUUGCGGUGCAUUAGUUAGUUGGUGGGGUAACGGCCUACCAAGACGAUGAUGCAUAGCCGACCUGAGAGGGUGAUCGGCCACAUUGGGACUGAGACACGGCCCAAACUCCUACGGGAGGCAGCAGUAGGGAAUCUUCCGCAAUGGGCGAAAGCCUGACGGAGCAAUGCCGCGUGAGUGAAGAAGGCCUUCGGGUCGUAAAACUCUGUUAUAAGAGAAGAGCAAAUUGUAGAGUAACUGCUACAGUCUUGACGGUAUCUUAUCAGAAAGCCACGGCUAACUACGUGCCAGCAGCCGCCGUAA